rnacentral:rRNA from 1 species
AGCAAUUCACCGAAGCUACGGGUACUGAUGCUUGCAUCAGUGCGGUAGAGGAGCGUUCUGUAAGCCGUUGAAGGCGAAGGGGUAACCCACGCUGGAGGUAUCAGAAGUGCGAAUGCUGACAUGAGUAACGAUAAAGGGGGUGAAAAACCCCCUCGCCGAAAGACCAAGGGUUCCUGUCCAACGUUAAUCGGGGCAGGGUGAGUCGACCCCUAAGGCGAGGCUGAAAGGCGUAGUCGAUGGGAAACGGGUUAAUAUUCCCGUACUUCUGCUAACUGCGAUGGAGAGACGGAGAAGGCUAGGCCGGCGCGGCGUUGGUUGUCCGCGUUUAAGGUAGUAGGUGGUGUGCUUAGGCAAAUCCGGGCACACAUACACUGAGAGCUGACGACGAGUCCCCAAGGGGAUGAAGUGGUUGAUGCCAUGCUUCCAGGAAAAUCUUCUAAGCUUCAGGUUAGCAGGAAUCGUACCCCAAACCGACACAGGUGGUCGGGUAGAGAAUACCAAGGCGCUUGAGAGAACUCGGCUGAAGGAACUAGGCAAAAUGGUACCGUAACUUCGGGAGAAGGUACGCUCCUGUUGGUGAAGAGACUUGCUCUCAGAGCUGACGGGAGUCGCAGAUACCAGGUGGCUGCAACUGUUUAUCAAAAACACAGCACUGUGCAAAAUCGCAAGAUGACGUAUACGGUGUGACGCCUGCCCGGUGCCGGAAGGUUAAUUGAUUGGGUUAUCUUCGGAGAAGCUC